GAUAUUGCGCAGUGGCAGUAUCGUAGCCAAUGAGGUUUAUCCGAGGCGCGAUUAUUGCUAAUUGAAAACUUUUUUUUAACAGAGUCUGGCUCUGUUGCCCCAGCUGGAGUACAGUGGCGAAAUCUCUGCUCACUGCCACCUCCGUCUACCGGAUUCAAGUAAUCCUUGUGCUUCAGCCUCCUGA
ensembl:snRNA U4 U4 spliceosomal RNA